rnacentral:rRNA from 1 species
CGCGUAGGUGGUUAGGUAAGCGAGAUGUGAAAGCCCCGGGCUUAACCUGAGAACGGCAUUUCGAACUGUCUGACUAGAGUAUGGUAGAGGGUAGUGGAAUUUCCUGUGUAGCGGUGAAAUGCGUAGAUAUAGGAAGGAACACCAGUGGCGAAGGCGGCCCCCUGGAUCGAGACUGACGCUGAGGCGCGAAAGCGUGGGGAGCAAACA